GAUGAACGCUGGCGGCGUGCCUAAUACAUGCCAGUAGAACGCUGAAGGGGGAGCUUGCUCUUCUGGAUGAGUUGCGAACGGGUGAGUAACGCGUAGGUAACCUGCCUGGUAGCGGGGGAUAACUAUUGGAAACGAUAGCUAAUACCGCAUGACAACAGUUAUUGCAUGAUAACUGUUUAAAAGGGGCAACUGCUCCACUACCAGAUGGACCUGCGUUGUAUUAGCUAGUUGGUGAGGUAACGGCUCACCAAGGCGACGAUACAUAGCCGACCUGAGAGGGUGAUCGGCCACACUGGGACUGAGACACGGCCCAGACUCCUACGGGAGGCAGCAGUAGGGAAUCUUCGGCAAUGGACGGAAGUCUGACCGAGCAACGCCGCGUGAGUGAAGAAGGGUUUCGGAUCGUAAAGCUCGGUUGUAAGAGAAGAACGAGUGUGAGAGUGGAAAGUUCACACUGUGACGGUAUCUUACCAGAAAGGGACGGCUAACUACGUG
rnacentral:rRNA from 1 species